rnacentral:rRNA from 1 species
GAAUUCGCCCUUAGAGUUUGAUCCUGGCUCAGGACGAACGCUGGCGGCGCGCCUAACACAUGCAAGUCGAACGGAGCUUAGAGAGCUUGCUUUUUAAGCUUAGUGGCGAACGGGUGAGUAACGCGUGAGUAACCUGCCCUAGAGUGGGGGACAACAGUUGGAAACGACUGCUAAUACCGCAUAAGCCCACGGUACCGCAUGGUACUGAGGGAAAAGGAUUUAUUCGCUUUAGGAUGGACUCGCGUCCAAUUAGCUAGUUGGUGAGGUAACGGCCCACCAAGGCGACGAUUGGUAGCCGGACUGAGAGGUUGAACGGCCACAUUGGGACUGAGACACGGCCCAGACUCCUACGGGAGGCAGCAGUGGGGGAUAUUGCACAAUGGGGGAAACCCUGAUGCAGCGACGCCGCGUGGAGGAAGAAGGUUUUCGGAUUGUAAACUCCUGUCGUUAGGGACGAUAAUGACGGUACCUAACAAGAAAGCACCGGCUAACUACGUGCCAGCAGCCGCGGUAAAACGUAGGGUGCAAGCGUUGUCCGGAAUUACUGGGUGUAAAGGGAGCGCAGGCGGGAAGACAAGUUGGAAGUGAAAACCAUGGGCUCAACCCAUGAAUUGCUUUCAAAACUGUUUUUCUUGAGUAGUGCAGAGGUAGAUGGAAUUCCCGGUGUAGCGGUGGAAUGCGUAGAUAUCGGGAGGAACACCAGUGGCGAAGGCGGUCUACUGGGCACCAACUGACGCUGAGGCUCGAAAGCAUGGGUAGCAAACAGGAUUAGAUACCCUGGUAGUCCAUGCCGUAAACGAUGAUUACAUAGGUGUUGGGGGAUUGACCCCCUCAAGUGCCGCAGUUUAACACAAUAAGUAAUCCCACGUGGGGAGUACGAACCGCGAGGGUGAAACUCAAAGGAAUUGACGGGGGCCCGCACAAGCAGUGGAGUAUGGGGUUUAAUUUGAAGCAACGCGAAGAACCUUACCAGGGCUUGACAUAUGGGUGAAGCGGGGGAGACCCCGUGGCCGAGAGGAGCCCAUACAGGUGGUGCAUGGCUGUCGUCAGCUCGUGUCGUGAGAUGUUGGGUUAAGUCCCGCAACGAGCGCAACCCCCGCCGCGUGUUGCCAUCGUGUGAUGCCGGGAACCCACGCGGGACCGCCGCCGUCAAGGCGGAGGAGGGCGGGGACGACGUCAAGUCAUCAUGCCCCUUAUGCCCUGGGCUGCACACGUGCUACAAUGGCCGGUACAGAGGGAUGCCACCCCGCGAGGGGGAGCGGAUCCCGGAAAGCCGGCCCCAGUUCGGAUUGGGGGCUGCAACCCGCCCCCAUGAAGUCGGAGUUGCUAGUAAUCGCGGAUCAGCAUGCCGCGGUGAGUGCGUUCCCGGGCCUU